rnacentral:rRNA from 1 species
AGGGUUUGACAUGAUACGAAUCUCUUUGAAAGAAGAGAGUGCCGUUUGGAACGUAUACACAGGUGGUGCAUGGCUGUCGUCAGCUCGUGUCGUGAGGUGUUGGGUUAAGUCCCGCAACGAGCGCAACCCUCAUUUUUAGUUGCCUUAUGGAACUCUAGAAAGACUGCCGGUUAUAAACCGGAGGAAGGCGGGGAUGACGUCAAGUCAGCAUGCCCCUUACACCCUGGGCUACACACGUGCUACAAUGGGUGAGACAAUGAGAUGCAACUCUGCGAAGACAAGCUAAUCUAUAAACUCACUCUAAGUUCGGAUUGUAGGCUGCAACUCGCCUGCAUGAAGU